UACGUAGGGGCGAGCGUUGUCCGGAGUGACUGGGCGUAAAGAGUUGCGUAGGCGGUUAUGUAAGUGAAUAGUGAAAGCUGGUGGCUCAACCAUACAGACUAUUAUUCAAACUACAUAACUCGAGAAUGGUAGAGGCAACUGGAAUUUCUUGUGUAGGAGUGAAAUCCGUAGAUAUAAGAAGGAACACCAAUGGCGUAGGCAGGUUACUGGACCAUUUCUGACGCUAAGGCACGAAAGCGUGGGGAGCGAACCGGAUUAGAUACCCCGUGUAGU
rnacentral:rRNA from 1 species